rnacentral:rRNA from 1 species
GAGUUUGAUCCUGGCUCAGGAUGAACGCUGGCGGUAUGCUUAACACAUGCAAGUCGAACGAGAGUUUUUAACUCUAGUGGCGAACGGGUGCGUAAUACGUGAGAAUCUGCCCUUAGGAGAAGAAUAACUUCUGGAAACGGUUGCUAAAUCUUCAUAUGCCGAGAGGUGAAAUAAUUUUAUUGCCUAGGGAUGAGCUCGCGCCUGAUUAGCUAGUUGGUAAGGUAAUGGCUUACCAAGGCCACGAUCAGUAGCUGGUUUGAGAGAACGAUCAGCCACACUGGGACUGAGACACGGCCCAGACUCCUCCGGGAGGCAGCAGUGAGGAAUUUUCCGCAAUGGGCGAAAGCCUGACGGAGCAAUACCGCGUGAGGGAUGAAGGAUUUUGGUCUGUAAACCUCUUUUCUCAAGAAAGAAGUUCUGACGGUACUUGAGGAAUAAGCAUCGGCUAACUCCGUGCCAGCAGCCGCGGUAAUACGGGGGAUGCAAGCGUUAUCCGGAAUCAUUGGGCGUAAAGCGCCUGUAGGUUGUUUAGUAAGUCUGUUGUUAAAGACUAGGGCUCAACCCUAGAAAUGCAAUGGAAACUACUAGACUAGAGUAUGGCAGGGGUAGAGGGAAUUUCUAGUGUAGCGGUGAAAUGCGUAGAUAUUAGAAAGAACACCGGUGGCGAAAGCGCUCUACUGGACCAUUACUGACACUCAGAGGCGAAAGCUAGGGUAGCAAAAGGGAUUAGAUACCCCUGUAGUCCUAGCCGUAAACGAUGGAUACUAGAUGUUGUAUUUAUUUUACAGUAUCGUAGCUAACGCGUUAAGUAUCCCGCCUGGGGAGUACGCUCGCAAGGGUGAAACUCAAAGGAAUUGACGGGGGCCCGCACAAGCGGUGGAGCAUGUGGUUUAAUUCGAUGCAGCGCGAGACCUUACCAGGCUUGACAUACUGCAAAUCUUUUGAAAGAA